UCUCGAAACAUCCUACCCUCACCUUCUCUCAAUUCUCUUCAAGAAUUCUUAAGAAUACGUUCUCUAAGCAGAGGAGACGUUGAGUGGGAGAGGCGAGGAGAAGAGGACCAUUUACACCUCUCUGACGUUGGCUGGUCCAGGUGCUGUUUCCCCAUGAUUAAAGACUAUCAGGAGGGCUGGGAAAGUGUGGGGAUCAAAGAAUAUAAAUAGCAAACUUGUGCAGGCCACAUUACUUUCUCAAUAAGGGAGUAGGGGAUUUGAAGGUGAAAAUAACUAUCUUUUACUGCAUGCAAAGGUUUGUGCUAUGUGAGAAACUCCAUCCUGACUUCCUCUUGGCAAGUAUUCCUUAACAGGCCUCACAGAUACCUGAAACCAAUUCUAACCCACUCUGGUCCUCCACUGACCACGACGUUACCUGAAUGGUGUGGCCCAAUUUCCCGACUGCUCACCAGUCCUCAGGCCUAUGGGGAACAUCUCAAAGAGGAUGAUGUUGAAUGCAUCGUAAACCAGGACGAGCUUGCCAUGAAUUACCAGGAGCAAGGCACCUCACCCUGCAGCCCUCCUGGGGAGGACCAGAAAGCUUCACCCCACACUCCAAGCAAGGAAAACAUUUACGAGGGGGACCUUGGCCUGGGAAGCUAUGAACUCAAGCUCGAGAAAACUCUUAGUCAAUCCCAGCUGAAUUGAUGGGCGUGAACAGCUCAGACAUCACAGGUCAUGCAGGGCUCACUGAGGAAUACAAGCAAAGCUGAUGAGGCUGAGGGCAUGGAAAGAGGCUGGAAAGUGUAUGAAGAGCAGAAACGAGAGAUUCAAAACAUACAUCCUCUGGUGCCCACAGAAAUGAGAAUUUAUUAUCAUCCCUCUGCAUUAGGCAACUGAUUUGAGUUUUGGACAGUGCCAUUUUUAUUAAUGAAUUGGGUAGGGUGGGGAGGGUGUGGGGAUAGGAGACAGGCAUCUAGUUGCUGGGAGGAUGAAACAGUUGUUCUUGUAUCUACAAGGUGUUUCUUUUCUGUAUACAGCUCUCCUGACCCUUCCCUCAGAUUUGAAAUUCUAUUCCCUCAUUUGGGAGAGUUUUAAAACUCUGUUUAAAAAGACUUUCUGAGCUUAAAUGCGUGGCUCCUAAACUGAAGGGAAUACCCAUUUAUUCAGGAAGUGACACGUUUUACAUGUUUAGAACCUAGGGUCCCACUCGCUCCUAGUGAUCCAGGGCUAUUUGUCCAGAUAAGUGCUCCAUACCACUGCUGAUGGCCUUGGUGCGUGGGGACCCCUAUCCUUCUGGGCAUCCUCUUUAAGCGGCUCCUCCCACUGCUUGGAGGGGUUCCUGACAGCUGGGAAGCACUCCGCAUUAAACGCAGUGCCGCUUUCCACCUGGGCGGGACCCCUUCCAGGGACAGUGGGGUUCUCUUCCCCGCACCAGGUUUCAACUUUCCUAUCCUUGCUUGCAUUCAAGUCACUUCCUGGCUCUGUGGCAGGUCCUUCUGUCUGUGGGGCGAUGAGAUGCCAUCGCCCAGGCUCCUCUCCAGUUAGAGCUCUCACCUGUCAACAGCGGCGCGGUGCGCAAGAAGAGCAGGACUGUGCAUGCGCAGAGCCCCCGUGCAGCGCCAAGGACGCAGCAUCAGCACCCUCCUCACAAGACGUGGCUUGUGACCUGAGGCGGAGAGACCAACACAACAGCUUUUAAUUCAGCUGCACGACCUGUGCCUUUAAGCCAUUAAGAUACCUCAAACCCAGCUUCUCUUGGAAUAACAGAUGUUCAUAUCAGACCCCGAAGAGGGCAGUCCCAGUCAUAGGUGAGCAGGCUCUGAAGAGUCUGCAUCUGAGGAUGAGCGUCUCCCUGGGGCCCAAAGCUUGAAAGUAACACAUGCUUUGCUGACGAGUCUUCAGGCUUUCGACACGAACCAUGGAGGUGCCGGGCACGCCGCUAUGCACAGCAAUCCUCUUGCUUUCCAAACGGUAGAAUCCAGGGGCACAAAUUGUUUUCUACUCAGCUAAGUAUAUCCUGGUCAUUCCAGAUAAAUAUGGCAAGCAGCAGAGCAUGAAGUUUUCUAAUUUGACUUAAUCCUAAUAAAACUUUGUUAUAAAGUA